UUGGAGGGCAAGUCUGGUGCCAGCAGCCGCGGUAAUUCCAGCUCCAAUAGCGUAUAUUAAAGUUGUUGCAGUUAAAAAGCUCGUAGUUGAAUUUCGGGGUUCUACCGUUGGUCGGGCUCUGUCUGUACUGGUGUGUAGAAUUUCUACCUUCUGGGGAACCAUCAUGCUAUUAAUUUAGCGUGGUGGGAAACCAGGACCUUUACCUUGAAAAAAUUAGUGUGUUCAAAGCAGGCUUAUGCCUGAAUACAUUAGCGUGGAAUAAUAGAAUAGGACGGUGGUCCUGUUUUGUUGGUUUCUGAAUCACCGUAAUGAUUAAUAGGGAUAGUUGGGGGCAUUAGUAUUCAAUUGUCAGAGGUGAAAUUCUUGGAUUUAUUGAAGACUAACUUCUGCGAAAGCAUUUGCCAAGGAUGCUUUCAUUAAUCAAGAACGAAAGUUAGGGGAUCGAAGACGAUCAGAUACCGUCGUAGUCUUAACCAUAAACUAUGCCGACUAGGGAUCGGACGAUGUUAAUUUUUCUUGACUCGUUCGGCGCCUUACGGGAAAC
rnacentral:rRNA from 1 species